rnacentral:lncRNA from 1 species
AGCUCAAGUUCAGAUCUCCGGAAAACCCUUCCCGACCGAUCUCAAACGAUAAGCUCCUAAGGCGCCGAAAUUCAAAACGAUCAACAGCACAGACCCUGGGAACCCUCCUCCUGGACCUGGACCCGGUUCAAAAGGUACGGCUCCCCUCAAAAGCCAGAACCCGAGAUCCCUCGGACCUCAGGGGUAGGAGCGCGGAGUCCAAGGCUCCCGGAAGCCGCAGCCCUGCCGGCUGGGCUCAGAGAGCAGAACCCUCAGGGCCUUCUACAGUCCCGGUGAAAGUUACUGCCUGGGGCUUCCGCUGCAGAGAGCUGGUCGAAACAACAGCAACCCUCAGGGCGGGUAAGACAGCCUCACGGGCUGGAUCCUGCUAUCCAAGUCUCAGUGAAAGUCCUUGCUCUCGGAGCUUGGGUUAGCUGCAGCCCAUCCCCCCGCAGGCCGACGAAACAGCCUCACGGCCAGCGAUUCUGAAGGCAACUUCCGGAAAGCAACGUGGUCCGACCCUUCCAUUCCAGUUCCAGUGAGGCAUAUUCAGUUUAACCCAGGGAAAGUCAUAGAACCAUCUGCCCAGGACUAAAGCCUCUGAACACCAGACAGAGACAAGAAAAGCCAAUCCUCCACAUUCAGAGAUGGAAAACUCCACAGAAGCACAGAAGCCCCAAAAUACCAAGAAAAAUAAGAAGAAAGGGGCGACUUUGGACACAUUCUAUGGAGCCAAAAUACAAAAUACAGAGCAGAUAGAAGAUAAUAUAAAAGAAAAUGCUCCAAAACCUUCCAAAGGAAAUGGAAACUCUCCACAAACCUAUGAAGAAUUUGAAUCAGAAAUGACCAAAAAGAUGGAAGCCUUCUGGGAGGAAAAGUUGGAAAUAAUGCAAAAGAAAUUCACGCAUCUACAAAACCAGUUUGACCAAACUGUAAAAGAAAACCAGGCUUUAAAGGCCAGAAUCAGGCAGCUGGAAGACAACGAUUGUGUAAAAGAGCAAGAAUCAAUAAAGCAAAGCCAAAAUACCAAGAAAUUAGAAGAGAACAUAAAAUAUCUCACCGACAAGGUGAUAGAUCUGGAAAAUAGGGGGAGAAGGGAUAAUUUAAGAAUAAUUGGACUCCCAGAAAAGCCAGAAAUAAACACCAAACUGGACAUGGUGAUACAAGAUAUAAUUAAAGAAAAUUGCCCAGAGAUUCUAGGACAAGGGGGACUGUUUCAAAGUAAAUCACUGGACUAAAAGGUAGAGCCGAAGAAGAAUAGGUUAGAAUUAGGGAAGGCAAUCAAAA